AAGUCGUAACAAGGUUUCCGUAGGUGAACCUGCGGAAGGAUCAUUAACACGUAUCCAAACGUUAAAACCCCCCCCGUGAACCUUCAUCCUGCUCUUGUAACCCGCGUAGUUCGCAAUCUCUGAUAAAUCAUAGCCCGGAAAGUUGUAGUGAUUCAGAGACCUCUGGCUACGUGCGAACAUUGGAACAGUUACAAUCGAGCGGUAGUUCUAUAGGCAAUGUUUCCCCAAGCAGUCAGUGUCGGAAAGUGUCAUUGCGUGUGCAAGGAUAGCGCUUCUGCGAUUCCUGUAGACCGUACACUCGGAAGCUCAAUGUAAUACAUUGGGAAAACCGAAUAACUGUUAACAAUGGAUAUCUUGGUUCUC
rnacentral:misc_RNA from 1 species